AACGCGAAGAACCUUACCAAGGUUUGACAUGCAGGGAAAAGCCGUAGAGAUACGGUGUCCGUAAGGGCCCUGCACAGGUGGUGCAUGGCUGUCGUCAGCUCGUGUCGUGAGAUGUUGGGUUAAGUCCCGCAACGAGCGCAACCCUCGUCCUAUGUUGCCAGCGGGUAAUGCCGGGGACUCAUAGGAGACUGCCGGGGUCAACUCGGAGGAAGGUGGGGAUGACGUCAAGUCAUCAUGCCCCUUAAGUCUUGGGCUGCAAACAUGCUACAAUGGCCGGUACAGAGGGCUGCGAGACCGCAAGGUGGAGCGAAUCUCAAAAAGCCGGUCUCAGUUCGGAUUGGGGUCUGCAACUCGACCCCAUGAAGUCGGAGUCGCUAGUAAUCGCGAAUCAGCAACGUCGCGGUGAAUACGUUCCCGGGCCUUGUACACACCGGCUAC
rnacentral:rRNA from 1 species